UACGUAGGGUGCAAGCGUUGUCCGGAAUUAUUGGGCGUAAAGAGCUCGUAGGCGGUUUGUCGCGUCUGCUGUGAAAACUCGGGGCUCAACUCCGGGCCUGCAGUGGGUACGGGCAGACUAGAGUGCGGUAGGGGAGACUGGAAUUCCUGGUGUAGCGGUGAAAUGCGUAGAUAUCGGGGAGGAACACCUGCGGCGAAGGCGGCUUCCUGGACUGCAACUGACGCUGGAGGCGCGAAAGCUAGGGAGCAAACAGG
rnacentral:rRNA from 1 species